CUCUGAAUAUUUUAAUACUUUCCCUCAAAAUAUCUUUUGAGCGAGUGGGCAGGGGAAUGGUUAACGACUUGUUUUGCUUGGACGGCGACGGAUUCAAGAUUUCUUUUUUCAAACGAUCAAAAUCCCACUUAUUUGGAUCAUAAUUGCUAACCAGUAAUAGUACGCAACAUUCGGGGAAAAGUUAUAUGAAAUCAACUGUAAUAUUAACAUGUUGCCUGCUAUUUCAAUGUGAUAGAUAUUAGUAUUAAAUUAUAUGACAAUUUCUUAUGUGCUUCUUG